CCUACGGGAGGCAGCAGUGAGGAAUAUUGGUCAAUGGCCGGAAGUCUGAACCAGCCAAGCCGCGUGAAGGAGGACUGCCCAGAGCGUCGCAGACCUCUUUUGUCGGGGGACAAAACGCCGCACUCGUCCGUUCCUGCGUGUACCCUGUGAACAAGCAUCGGCUAACUCCGUGCCAGCAGCCGCGGUAAUACGGAGGAUGCGAGCGUUAUCCGGAUUCAUUGGGUUUAAAGGGUGCGCAGGCGGGCCUUUAAGCCGGCGGGGAAAUCGCGGGGCUCAACCCCGCCGAGCAGUCGGAACUGGGGGCCUUGAGUGCGGCGGAGUCAGGCGGAAUGCGCGGUGUAGCGGUGAAAUGCAUAGAUAUCGCGCAGAACCCCGAUUGCGAAGGCAGCGUGCCGUGCUGUGACUGACGCUGAGGCACGAAAGCGUGGGGAUCGAACAGGAUUAGAUACCCGAGUAGUC
rnacentral:rRNA from 1 species